rnacentral:rRNA from 1 species
ACGGGGGGUGCAAGCGUUAAUCGGAGUUAUUGGGCGUAAAGGGUGCGUAGGUGGUUCAUUAAGUUAUCUGGGAAAUUCCUGGGCUUAACCUAGGAAUGUCGGGUGAUACUGGUGAACUUGAGUAUAGUAGAGGGUAGUGGAAUUUCCGGUGUAGCGGUGAAAUGCGUAGAGAUCGGAAGGAACACCAGUGGCGAAGGCGGCUACCUGGACUAAUACUGACACUGAGGCACGAAAGCGUGGGGAGCAAACAGG